rnacentral:rRNA from 1 species
UACGUAGGGCGCAAGCGUUGUCCGGAAUUAUUGGGCGUAAAGAGCUCGUAGGCGGUCUGUCGCGUCUGCUGUGAAAUCUGGGGGCUCAACCCCCAGCCUGCAGUGGGUACGGGCAGACUAGAGUGCUGUAGGGGAGACUGGAAUUCCUGGUGUAGCGGUGAAAUGCGCAGAUAUCAGGAGGAACACCGGUGGCGAAGGCGGGUCUCUGGGCAGUAACUGACGCUGAGGAGCGAAAGCGUGGGGAGCGAACAGG